GCCUGGCCACAGAAUAGACUACACAGAAGCCCGACUUCUUGGUUUUUCCUAUCAUAGACGGAUUUUCAUAUUUUUUACUGGGGUGGUGCCAGAAAUUUUAGGGGGGUGAGCCGUGAGCAGGUGACUGAAGCAACACAAAGUGUCACCAAACCCCAGUAAGGUCUAUAUCCUAGGUGUGGAGCACUACAGCCGCGUGGGGGAGUCUAGAGUGCAGAAAACAAAGUAUCCCUGGAAAAAUUUGAAAAAAAUCAUGAGUUCUAGCUUCGAAAAAAGUUUUUUGAAGUUGUCAUAUCAAUUGAUUUGACCGGUCCGAUUGUAUGUUGAGACUUGAGAGAGUUAAAGUUAAAUGAACCUAAAAAAGUGUAAAUCCAAUAGGCCAAUACAUUUUACUUUAAUUUAUAAAGUCGUUGACAUUGUGUCGUUUGAAUCCGAGUACAAUUUAUGAUGCAACUCCGAUGUAAAUAAUAUUUGGGGCGUAAAGAUUAAAUCUAGGCAAGACUAUUUCCUAAAAGAAUUAAAAACUAAAAGUAAUGUUCGUAAAAAUUCCAAAUGUUCCUUGCAAGCAAGCUAUUUGCACGACAAGGCACUGCAAACUCUAUUCAGGGGAGAUAAUAGAGUUUCAAAACUUUACAAUUGCUCCAAUAAACCAGUGAAUGCAAGUGAGGAGCGAUCAUUAGUUUCAGAGUCUUUUUCUAUUAGAGUGUACCUGUACUCCUACGUUUAUUUUGUAUCAUCAACACUCUGCACGUUGGAGUGGACUAUUUAACUAUUUUUUAUUAUGCCG